AUUGAACGCUGGCGGCAUGCUUUACACAUGCAAGUCGAACGGCAGCACAGGGAGCUUGCUCCUGGGUGGCGAGUGGCGAACGGGUGAGUAAUGUAUCGGAACGUGCCUGGUAGUGGGGAUAACUACUCGAAAGGGGGGCUAAUACCGCAUGGGAUCUUUGGGUGAAAGGGGGGGGCCUUCGGGCCUCGUGCUACUGGAGGGGCCGAUAUCAGAUUAGGUUGUUGGUGGGGUAAAGGCCUACCAAGCCUGCGAUCUGUAGCUGGUCUGAGAGGACGACCAGCCACACUGGGACUGAGACACGGCCCAGACUCCUACGGGAGGCAGCAGUGGGGAAUUUUGGACAAUGGGCGCAAGCCUGAUCCAGCAAUGCCGCGUGCAGGACGAAGGCCUUCGGGUUGUAAACUGCUUUUGUACAGAACGAAAAGUCUCUGGCUAAUAUCUAGAGAUCAUGACGGUACUGUAAGAAUAAGCACCGGCUAACUACGUG
rnacentral:rRNA from 1 species